rnacentral:misc_RNA from 1 species
CGCACCUUGCGCUCCCUGGUAUUCCGGGGAGCAUGCCUGUUUGAGUGUCAUGGUAUUCUCAACCUUCAUAACUUUUUGUUAUCGAAGGCUUGGAUUUGGAGGUUGUGCUGGCUACUUGCCUAGUCGGCUCCUCUUAAAUGUAUUAGCGUGAGUGUAACGGAUCGCUUCGGUGUGAUAAUUAUCUGCGCCGUGGUCGUGAAGUAACAUAAGCUUGCGCUUCUAACCGUCCUUCAGUUGGACAGCUUACUUUGACAUCUGACCUCAAAUCAGGUAGGACUACCCGCUGAACUUAA